AUUGAACGCUGGCGGCAUGCCUUACACAUGCAAGUCGAACGGUAACAGGUCUUCGGAUGCUGACGAGUGGCGAACGGGUGAGUAAUACAUCGGAACGUGCCCGAUCGUGGGGGAUAACGCAGCGAAAGCUGUGCUAAUACCGCAUACGAUCUACGGAAGAAAGCGGGGGAUCGCAAGACCUCGCGCGGACGGAGCGGCCGAUGGCAGAUUAGGUAGUUGGUGGGAUAAAAGCUUACCAAGCCGACGAUCUGUAGCUGGUCUGAGAGGACGACCAGCCACACUGGGACUGAGACACGGCCCAGACUCCUACGGGAGGCAGCAGUGGGGAAUUUUGGACAAUGGGCGCAAGCCUGAUCCAGCCAUGCCGCGUGCAGGAUGAAGGCCUUCGGGUUGUAAACUGCUUUUGUACGGAACGAAAAAGCUCUCUCUAAUACAGGGGGUGAAUGACGGUACCGUAAGAAUAAGCACCGGCUAACUACGUGCCAGCCGCCGCGGUAACAC
rnacentral:rRNA from 1 species